rnacentral:rRNA from 1 species
GAUGAACGCUGGCGGCGUGCCUAAUACAUGCAAGUCGAGCGAACUGAUUAGAAGCUUGCUUCUAUGACGUUAGCGGCGGACGGGUGAGUAACACGUGGGCAACCUGCCUGUAAGACUGGGAUAACUUCGGGAAACCGAAGCUAAUACCGGAUAGGAUCCUCUCCUUCAUGGGAGAUGAUUGAAAGAUGGUUUCGGCUAUCACUUACAGAUGGGCCCGCGGUGCAUUAGCAAGUUGGUGAGGUAACGGCUCACCAAGGGAACGAUGCAUAGCCGAGCUGGGAGGGUGAUCAGCGACACUGGGACUGAGACACGGCCGAGACUCCAACGGGAGGCAGCAGUAGGGAAUCUUCCGCAAUGGACGAAAGUCUGACUGAGCAACGCCGCGUGAGUGAUGAAGGCUUUCGGGUCGUAAAACUCUGUUGUUAGGGAAGAACAAGUACAAGAGUAACUGCUUGUACCUUGACGGUACCUAACCAGAAAGCCACGGCUAACUACGUGCCAGCCGCCGCAGUAA